GUCUGAAGACUGGAAACAAUGCUUGUUCUUGAAGUUCGGAAAGGAUUUCCGGGAGGAAAUUAUUUUGUUUUACUUCUACAAGUAUCUGAAUUACUUUAUGUGGGCCCAAAGAAGACUUCAACCUCACCUAACGACCCAUUUGACAACGGGCUAGGUAAGUCAAACUAGGCCCGGCCCAUGAAUUAGAUGGAUAUGAUAAGCGCUCCUUUCUUGUUAGGUGACAACAGGCGGUUGAGGUUGAAGAACUGAUGGCGUCUUUCUGCUGCCUAUCCACAGUAUCAACAUCGAACACCCUAGCAAUUGCCCCUCCAUUGGCACCCUUCACGUCUUUCUCGCCAGAUUCAAUGAGACAAAGUUGCAGUUGCUCUCUAGUCUCUAUGCCGAUGUUCGGUUCUAAUCGCCUGAAUUUGAAUAAUCGGAAGAUGCAGAGACAGUUGGUACGUAUGGCACCUGAGGAGGAGAAAUUGACUCGCCGCAAUCCUCUCGAUUUCCCUAUCGAGUGGGAAAGGCCAAAACCUGGUCGCAGACCUGAUAUAUUUCCCCAAUUUAGCCCAAUGAAAACACCAUUGCCACCCCCAUUGCCAUGUGACCCUCCAGAAGAAGAUGAAGAAGAGGAAGAAAAGAAAGAGGAAGAGGAGGAAGAUCCUGAGCAGGAGGAAACUGAGAAGCCUGAUAAACAAGAGUAGUAUUCUUUUGAUGGCAGAGUCAGGUAUUGUAGAAAGUGGAUGACAGAAUCAGCCCAGUAAAAUUUUGUUGAAGUUUUAGCUAUAGCUCCUUGCAGCAAGACUUUGAAGGACGGGUAGGUCUGAAUGUUCGCUGAAUCGGCAGCUAAACAAAAUGCCCAUGCACAAGCGCAAACGGAACUCUCUUAUUUUAAAGACCAAAACUCCAUUUUCAACAUCUUUCUUGGUCUUCUUCUUCUUCUAAUUAACGCACCAGAGCCAUGUCUCUGGCGCCAUUGAUGCUCCGCUCACUGGUGAGACUUCUAACAUCCCUGGUAAGGGAGCCUGCCACCUCUAUUGCAACGUUACUCUACUACAGUGAACUUCUACCUCAGAAUAUUUUACUGGUGAGAAUGGUUCGACACGAGUUACUCGAUCAAGAAAAUUAUCUUUUCCACUUUCUUGUCAAUUUUUUGAGAUGUUUCUGGUAGAUUCAGUUGAUUCAUCAUCUUUACAAAUCAUACAGCCCUUUUUCUUGCAUGGUGGAUCCAACAAUUUUGUGCAAUUGUAUUUGGUGAUUAUGUUGAGAAUUCUGAAAUAAAUAUAAUCAACACUAUAUUGAAAGCCAAA